rfam:Gossypium raimondii Chr05_contig_424, whole genome shotgun sequence.
AAUAGGAGAAUGACAAAUCAAAUUUUUCCUCUUGAUUUUUAGCUUUUUCCUCGUGAAAAAUUCAAAUCCAACUGAAAAUAUUAAAAAUUAGAAAGAAAAAAUCUGAUUUAUCAUUCUUUCUAUU